rnacentral:rRNA from 1 species
GACGAACGCUGGCGGCGUGCUUAACACAUGCAAGUCGAACGGAAAGGCCCUGCUUUUGUGGGGUGCUCGAGUGGCGAACGGGUGGGUAACACGUGAGUAGCCUGCCCUUGACUUUGGGAUAACUUCAGGAAACUGGGGCUAAUACCGGAUAGGAGCUCCUGCUGCAUGGUGGGGGUUGGAAAGUUUCGGCGGUUGGGGAUGGACUCGCGGCUUAUCAGCUUGUUGGUGGGGUAGUGGCUUACCAAGGCUUUGACGGGUAGCCGGCCUGAGAGGGUGACCGGCCACAUUGGGACUGAGAUACGGCCCAGACUCCUACGGGAGGCAGCAGUGGGGAAUAUUGCACAAUGGGCGGAAGCCUGAUGCAGCAACGCCGCGUGCGGGAUGACGGCCUUCGGGUUGUAAACCGCUUUCGCCUGUGACGAAGCGUGAGUGACGGUAAUGGGUAAAGAAGCACCGGCUAACUACGUG